rnacentral:rRNA from 1 species
UACGUAGGUUGCAAGCGUUGUCCGGAUUUAUUGGGUUUAAAGAGCUCGUAGGCGGCCAACUGAGUCGGAUGUGAAAUCCCCAGGCUUAACCUGGGAACUGCAUCCGAUACUGGAUGGCUUGAAUUCGGGAGAGGGAUGCAGAAUUCCAGGUGUAGCGGUGAAAUGCGUAGAUAUCUGGAGGAAUACCGGUGGCGAAGGCGGCAUCCUGGACCGAGAUUGACGCUGAUGAGCGAAAGCUAGGGGAGCAAACGGG